AUUGAACGCUGGCGGCAGGCCUAACACAUGCAAGUCGAGCGGAGGAAGGGGGCUUGCUCCUGGAUUCAGCGGCGGACGGGUGAGUAAUGCCUAGGAAACUGCCUGGUGGUGGGGGAUAACGUCCGGAAACGGGCGCUAAUACCGCAUACGUCCUGAGGGAGAAAGUGGGGGAUCUUCGGACCUCACGCUAUCAGAUGAGCCUAGGUCGGAUUAGCUAGUUGGUGGGGUAAAGGCCUACCAAGGCGACGAUCCGUAACUGGUCUGAGAGGAUGAUCAGUCACACUGGAACUGAGACACGGUCCAGACUCCUACGGGAGGCAGCAGUGGGGAAUAUUGGACACUGGGCGACAGCCUGAUCCAGCCAUGCCGCGUGUGUGAAGAAGGUCUUCGGAUUGUAAAGCACUUUAAGUUGGGAGGAAGGGCAGUAAGUUAAUACCUUGCUGUUUUGACGUUACCAACAGAAUAAGCACCGGCUAACUUCGUG
rnacentral:rRNA from 1 species